CAACAGAAAAUGUCAAUCCAAACAGAAGCUGUUUUAAGUUUUAUGGUUUUAGGAAAUUGGAAACUAUUUUUAAAUGAAUUUUAUCAGGCUUCAGACUCAAUCUACUUGCUUUAAAAAUUAAUUAUUCUUCACUAAACCGACUUUAAAUUAAUCAAAGUAUAUAUAGUUUUCUUCAGUGCACUCUUUCCCCUACGAAUCAUAGACAAUUGAAAUGAAAUUGAUUGAAAUGCGAUUAGCAAAAUGAAUAUCAAACUUCAGCAGCCGCAGUCACAGUCUAACGCUAAAAUGUUUUGUUCAAUUGAAUAAUCACACCUAUGACAGCAAAACCGAUCAGUAGGCUAUUUUUAUGGCCCCGACUCCGGAUUCAAUUGUUUUUCGGCCAUUUUCCUGCAAAGUCACGAAAUCUUUGUGGCGCUUUGACAAUUUUGUUUAUUUACUUUAUAUAAUGCAAUGAGAUAAUCAAGGUGUUGUGUCAGGCGAAGAGUACCCAUUUCGGAUCAGGUGUCACCUAUAUAAAGCCUAGAUCUCUAUGAUGAUCUCAGCGAUAAAACUGUGAAAGUUCUAGCUUUUAAAUCAGAAGACCCCCACGCAAUGCCAGCAUUAAAUGGAGUCAGUCAUGGUGCUCCACUUUGGAUUUUAAAAUCCACAAAAAAUUCAAAUAUGUAAGAAUAUUUUUGUUUUGUUAUUUUGGAACAGCAUGACCUACGCUAAUAGGGAAGAGAAAGAACUAGCGAAAAAUAAACUAAUUUUAGCAGUUGCGACAUCGCCAAAAUAUCAGAAUAUCGAGCCAGAACCAGAGCCCGAGUCACAGCCAGGGGCAUCGAUAGCAACAACAAAAGUUCGCUGAACUGCACAAAAGCUACAAAAUAUAAUAAUAAGACAAAGCCGGGCUUCAUUAGCCCUGGCCAUCAUCAUCUUGGCCAAAGAAAGCAGCUGCCGAAGAUUCGAACGGACAAAAAAUGCACACAAAUCAACGUUAGAAUUUGGAAUUCCAUUGGGAACAAAGCGGAGAAAGAUGGGGAGAAUCCGGAGAUCGACCGAUGGUCGGUGGUUGGGGUAUGGUGGAUCCAUGGUGGAUCGAUGAAUUCCUGGUAUUGCCAGCCCAUCGCCUAGCUCUAUCGCCCGACAACGACAGCUUAUUAGUUUAUAGUAUCAACAAUACAAAUUAAAGAACCCCACCACCUCGAACCCGUGACCAACCUCGAACCCGAAGCGACCUCGAAGAAAGGCCGCCGCAGAAAGUCAUCGAACUUUCUCCCUGUUCUUUCGCUGGCUAAUUUCUAUAUUAGGUGUCACGGUGUUUGGCUGUCGGUGGCUCAAUUAAUUACCUCACCAUCACCGAUCAUUUAUAACUCUCGGGAGUCUGGGGAGUCAGCCCGAAAUCUUCCUCUAAUUUGUUACAAUUUGUAAAGUGGGAAUUCUAGCGGGGCUCCCAGGGCGCAAGGUCAAGCACACAAUCACUAAACAAGUUGCUAACUAAAUUGCCGUGACAAGUAUAGUUGGGAGCUGAGAAACCCAUGGAGAACCUGGAGGGAAAAGAAUUAUACAAUCGCGUGAGUCUUCUCAUAGCUGCAAAUCUUUCAGUUGGCCAAUUCUCCUUUGUAAGCGGCGGUGACAUGCGAACAGAAUGGUUAUGGACAGAUGGAUGGUGAAUUGUGUCUCUUGGCAGCCACUUUCCAGCAUCUGAGCUGUAAUUAAUAGCAGCUUACGACUUAGCCGCAAAUUAACCGCAUGAUGGGAUCGUAGGUGUCGCCAGCCAGCUACCAGACGGUUUCUUGUGGGCAGAACAGACUGACCCCAUCCGGGAGAGUUGCGAAACACUCCUACCACUUCCUACCACCUCGACCUAA